rnacentral:lncRNA from 1 species
AUUCCUCAAGAGCUCCUAGCACCAUCUGUGUUCUUAAAGGCACGCCUUGAUGGUAGCUCUGAGAAGACUCAUCUCCAGGUAGGUUGACUCUUAGUCCAGAAACUUCUGAUGGUUUUGGUAUUUAGAAUGUGUUUCCUUUGCCCAUUAGGUCUAAUCAAUGAAGUUUGUAGCAUACCUUCUACACAGAUUUUUAGAGUGAAGAAUGUUUUAUUCAUGAAAAAAUUUAUUUUAUUCAUGAAAAAUGAGGUGCUGAGUUUGUAUGUGUAUGUGUGUAUUGCAUGCAUGCACCUUUCUUCUCCUAUUGAAACUUCCCAUUGAGAGGUCCUACGUGUCUUUUUGGCCGAUCUUAUAUCCCAGAGGAUAUAGGGAUGGGAUAAGAGGUUUAGUUCAUGAUGGUAAGUGGAGCAUGACCAUUGGAUGUAAGUUCAAUCAUCAUUACUAUUACCUCUCCUGUACUUUAAUUUGGUAGCAGAAAUGGAAUUUUAGGAGGAUAAACUUGAACUCAGCCUGAAUUCCUGAUCUGUUAAUGAAUCAGUUUAGUAAGUUCCUUUCUUCAAGUGGAGUUCCAGCAUUUUUUUUUUUUUUGAGCUUUUUAUUCUGCAGAGAUAUUUAGAGCUUGUAAACAUGAACUCAAGAAAAUUUGAACUGCAACAGUUGAUCUUGUAACCUCGGGAAGUUUCUACUAUAUUAAAUUGCAUCCUGAUUAUUUGGAAAGCACAAUGCUUUUGAUCAGCUAUUGAGGUCAUGCUUGUGGGGUCAAGUAUCUCAUUACACUUGUAUUUUCUUCCAAAUGGAUUUGUACCUUUAUUUUAUUCUGCUGCUUGUUUUCCUGGCCUAUUAUCACAGCCUAUUAUUGCAGUCUUAAAAAUAACUCCUAUUCCUACUCCAGAAGUUAAAAGAAGCAUUUCUAAAAAAAAAAAAAAAAAAGGGAAAAAAGUACCCUGGGGCAUUAAUCAAGUUCUUCAAGAUACUACCCCUUGCUUGGCUAAAAGAUACAUCUCCAGUUAUUUACAUGUGAAUCUAUAUUCAUGUCUGCUAACAUUGCUCAUGUACAUGCACGUACACAUUUGGCAUAAUAAUGCAGCAAGCGUUUAUAAGGAUACUCAAAAUGUCAAUGUCAGGAUAAUUGCAAAACAUGGAGCUUCAUUUUACGUGCACAGCUCUUUGUUUCAACAGUAAAUCAUGAUGUCUGAUUCCCCCACCUCAUAUACAAUUGCACUCAGGUUGUGCAGUGGCCGCUUUCUCAUUGGCUAAAAUUCAUUUCCUGUUGAGUUACAGUUAGAAAGUUCUUUUCUUUCUUUUCUUUUUAACCACCAAUAUCUCAGGGAGCUGCAGCCAGUCCUGUACUCUGAAUCUUCAGUAACAGCUCAGUGUUGAAUUUUCAAAAAUUGACAGGCAAUUUCUCCUUUUGCAAUAGUCUGGGCUUUUCAGGGCUGCAGUAGCAAAGGCUAAAUGUGAAAAGGAAAUGGGGGUGAGCAAAA